rnacentral:lncRNA from 1 species
AGCAUUCGUAAUACCAGCAGCUACACAGAAACUCUUGAGUAUGGUGGCGUAAGCCUGUACUAACAGCGCUCGGGAGGCUGAGGCAGAAGAUUGCAGGUCCAAGGUUGGCCUUGGAAAUCCUGUUCAUUGUGGGCUGUGACUCUGAUAAAAAUCCAAAUGAGGAGACUUGGAGAACAGGAGGGCAUUAGAACCCCUCACCCAGAGAACUCCUCAUUGUACACAUCACACCCAGGGCAGCUGUCAUCGAUCCCGCCGGGCCAUGCAUCGUGCCUGCCGGACUGGAGGCCUGCCUGGUAUGUGAUAUUUGAGCAAAUCCCAGUGUGAAGGUUUUGUUUCAGGCUGCCCAUUUCCUGCCAGCUCCAACUACCACGGUGACAGGUCGGCUCUCAGCCACAUCAUCAAGCAGACUCAGGUAACCUAUUGAUUGUCUGUUUAUCGAUUAGUGCAUCUCCCUAGUACAUGGUUCUCUUUUAAAAAUUCUACCAAUUCAUUUUAGUUAGCACAGCAAAUAACGAGCUUCAAUGCAAUAUUUUCAUGGUAUUUUGCUCAUAUCCGUCUCCCAUCCUUCUCUCCCACCCCUUCCGCUUCCUGUUGUCUCCAUUCUUCCUCCCAAAGCAUCUCUCUUCUGCUUUCAUGUCCUGGGUGUGUAUCUAAAGCUAAAGUCUGUGUGUGAGGAAAAACAAGGGCAGCAUUCUUCUUUCUAUUCCCCUCAUUACUCUCUUGCCUCCUCAUCAUGGACGUCUCUUUAUAUCGUUAGGUCUGCUGUAUUGAGUUUGCAAUAUAUAUUCCAUAUAGGAGUAGAAACUUGUAGCUUUGGUAUCUUGAGUCUGGCUUGUUUUACUUAACAUGAUGGUUUCCAGCUCAUUUUUCUGCAACUUGCAUAAUUUUAUUAUUCUUUACUACUGAAUGAAGCAGAUAAAAACAAACAAACAAACAAACAGAAUACAAGUGCUUUUUAAGAAGAGGGUUCAAAAACCACAAAAAUAUCGAGGAUGACAGUCAAGGUAGAAACUAAGACUGGGAAAAUACUGUAUGUGGUCCAACUUCAAGACUUCUUUUUCCUCAGCAGCAGUUUCUACCUUGUCAUACACUGCUCACCCUUUGCCCCUCUUAUUUUAUUAUUAAGAGAUGUUAGAUGAUCAGGGAAGCAUCUUCAUUUAAGGCUACCAGGGACACUGGAAGGAAUAAGACAUGAUCAGAAAAAUAAAAACAUGCAUGAUACAGAAUGAGACCAGGACCGGAGAGAUGGUUCAGUCCACUAAGUGCUUGCCCUACACCCACAAAGUACCAGAGUGUAAACUCCAAAACCCAAGUAUAUAUUUAAAAAAAAAACAAAAUAGAACCCAGUACAGGCAUAGUGGC